rnacentral:lncRNA from 13 species
AUGCGCGCGGGCCUCGAGGGCAAGGCGGGCCUGGGCGGUGCCCACCGGCGGCCGAGGGUGGUCGCUGCCCGGUCCCAGAAGCCAGGACCGCGGGCUUCUAGAACGUUCCCUGUGGCUUUCCUGAGGGGAGCGUGGACGGAGCCAGGGUGUGCAGAUUCUGUGGGAAAUAUUUUCACCUGGAGCCCCAGGGGGCCCCUGCCAACGUCUGGGCACUGGCGGCCGGCUGGAGGCCCGGGGCCCGGGACGCGGCUGGGAGGGCUCGGCGGGAGGGCGGAGCCCCCGAGGGUUCCAGAAAGGGGGCGGGGCUGGGCGGCCGCGCGGGAUGCCGGGAUCGCAGCAGGCUCCGAGAGGCGCAGGUCGGUUUCUGAGGCGGGUCCGGACCCAGGCCCGGUACCAGAGCCUGCUCAGGGCCCAGCUGAGGCCGCCCAGCCGGGAGCCGCCUCCGCACUGCCUGGGCCCCCCGAAGCCGCCCGGCUGUGCCGCACCUCCCGGGGAGGGGCCCCUACUCCCUUGGGAACUAAACGCCCCUCAGUGUCCCAGGGAGACCCCCCAACUCCGCUCCCCUCGGGGUCCCAGGGAGACCCCCCCAACUCCGCUCCCCUCGGGGUCCCAGGGAGACCCCCCAACUCCACUCCCCUCAGGGUCCCAGGGAGACCCCCCCCAACUCUGCUCACCUCAGAGUACCAGGGAGACCCCCCAACUCCGCUCCCCUCAGGGUCCCAGGGAGACCCCCCCGGAACUCCGCUCCCCUCGGGGUCCCAGGGAGACCCCCCAACUCUGCCCACCUCAGUACCAGGGAGACCCCCCGGAACUCUGCUCCCCUCAGGGUCCCAGGGAGACCCCCCCCGGAACUCCGCUCCCCUCAGGGUCCCAGGGAGACCCCCCCGGAACUCCGCUCCCCUCAGGGUCCCAGGGAGACCCCCCGGAACUCCGCUCCCCUCGGGGUCCCAGGGAGACCCCCCCGGAACUCCGCUCCCCUCGGGGUCCCAGGGAGACCCCCCCAACUCUGCUCACCUCAGAGUACUAGGGAGACCCCCCGGAACUCGCUCCCCUCAGGGUCCCAGGGAGACCCCGCCGGAACUCCGCUCCCCUCAGGGUCCCAGGGAGACCCCCGAAUUCUCCUUUCAAGGGUCCUAG